ensembl:ncRNA T24A11.11 ncRNA
AUGCGAAGAUAAAAUACAACUAGAUGCAGACUAAUUGGUUAGGCUUACAAUUAGGCUUUGGUUCAGGUUUAGGCUUAGGCAUAGACUUAUGCUUAGGCUUAAGUUAAAUUGCUGCUUUCAAAAAAUAUUUCUUGUAUAUUGCCGUUUU